UGAGUAACCUGCCCUUCACUCUGGGAUAACUCCGGGAAACCGGGGCUAAUACUGGAUAUGACUCGAACAGGCAUCUGUUUCGGGUGGAAAGAUUUAUUGGUGGAGGAUGGACUCGCGGCCUAUCAGCUUGUUGAUGAGGUAAUGGCUCACCAAGGCGACGACGGGUAGCCGGCCUGAGAGGGUGACCGGCCACACUGGGACUGAGACACGGCCCAGACUCCGUACGGGAGCA
rnacentral:rRNA from 1 species